ensembl:lncRNA
CAUGACGGUGUGGUGUGUAGGUUCCUAUCGUUAUUGCUUCCGUUGUUGGCCUGGGGCGCCGCGGAUGACCCUACAUAGCCCUUGGCCGGCCACCGGGAAGAUUGCGUCUCGUACUGACGAUCGUAACAAAGACGCACCGUGCUUUCCUUCUGAGGGUUUAGUAGCCCUAAUACGUGCAGCAGACUAGUCAUGUGGAAGUUUGUCUGCUGAAAGUAAGCGCCCUCCCGGGAGGAUGUGUUGAACUUUUGGGUAAGUUGACUUAAAGUUACGAAGUUUCGGAUUAACGGUCGUGGUGUGGUACCAGGCACUUGGUUCAAGACCCUGCCCCUAGAGGCGUUGCAGGUGUGGCGGCUGUGUCACAUUUGUGUCAGUAGGUGGCGGAGAGGAGAGAGGCUAUGUCUACGCUCAGUGUUCUGACCGGUGAACAUCUGAAUGAUUUGUAGCCUGACAAUGCUCCCUAAAGCUGGAGGUGGGAUUGUCGCCCCCGGUUGAUGGCUGGCUUAGGUCAUUUGAUGGUUCUGCAUAUACCCAAUAGAGGGGCCCGUCUGUAAAGAGAAGUUUCAGAUAAUUUGGUCUGUUGGAAAUCGUGGAACCAGUAACCCUCAAAAGAUCCUGGGACACAGUUUGGGUCAAGAGACUGUCUCAAGUAACAACAGUGGAUUAGUUAGGGGUUUUUAUUGCUGUGAAACGCCAUUACCAAGAAGCAAGUUAGGGAGGAAAGGGUUUAUUCAGCUUACACUUACACGUUGCUGUUUAUUGCCAAAGGAAGCCAAGGCAGGAACCUGGAGGUAGCUGGUGCAGAGACCGUAGGAGUGCUGCUCUGCCUGUACAACUGUUCCAGAAGAGGCCAUCAGAGCCUAUUAUAAACUACCGCGUGGUUGCUGGGAAUUGAACUCCGCCUUCAGUGCUCUGAACCACCACUCCAACUCCAAUCAAGGGAUUGGGCUUUGACCUCUGCCUGGUUUUAAAGGCGUGCUCCGCCACCGACCCAGGAAUGGCACCGCCCACAAUGGGCUGGUCACUAAUUGAGAAAAUGCCUUACAGCUGGGCUCACCCGUAGGCAUUUCCUAAGCUGAGUCUGAUGACUGGAACUUGUUCCAAGUUGGCACAGAAACAGCCAGUAUAGCCCCAAAGCUUUCCUUUGAGGAGAUGAGUGGAGUUACUAGCUAAAGCUCUGAAGUGCUUGGCCGGCUAUGUUGAUGUGAGAAGAUGGGUUUUCAAACUAGAUAUCUCCGCUGCUUGCUGGCUGGUGCCAGAAAGGCAGACUGCACGUUCUGUGGCCUUCACAAUAGCAGGGCUGGAGUCUCCAUCCCUGGUACCACAGGCAAGCGAAACUGAUAAUGGGGAGGGAAGUAGUGCCUGGUAAUAGGUUCAUGUUGCACCGUGACUUCAGAAUAUGGGAGUAUAGUGGGACAGCUAACAGUGGUGGUGCAGCGCAUGGAUUAAGAGGGUCUACAUUGUUUUCUUUGAUACAGGAAGGUUGGUGACUAAACUCUGCUUGUGCUAACUGCCCAGCAAUGACUCAGUUGAGGUAAGAGGUGGGCUGGACCCACUGGAGCGUGCUCAGAUGGGAUGUACGUGGCUGCCUUGAAGAUGCUGUCCUAGAACAGCACCACAGGCCUGGCUCGGCUUUGCCUGUGACAUUGGGGCAAAGAGCAAGUGGCUAUUUCUACGCUCAGUGUUCAGAAGCCAGUGAGCACUAAGAAUGGUUUGUAGCCUGACAUUUUGCAGAGCCACAGUGGAAUGGCACUGGGGUUUGGCUUUGCUGUUGGCCAGAUGCCAAGCCUCUAGGGCUCACCAAAGGGUCACAUGGUCAGCAUUUUAGCAAGACAGAACUUUGGAGGUGUGUGUGAGUUUUCUAGGAGACCUUCUGAGAAGCUGGGAAAAUACAAGAAAUUAUCCGUCCUUUCUUCAUCUUCCAGAUCCAGAAGCCAGGAAGAAGGAAGGGGGCCUACUUAUUGGCCAAGAUGGCUGAUCGGGAUGAGUGCAGAUAUGAUUUUAGGCCGUGGGCCUGAGGUAUGUCCUCUGACCUCACCAGUGUCCUACAGAACUCCCCAUAUGGCUUUGGGCAGCUCUGAACUUAACUCUGGUAGCCAGCCUAUGUCUUAAGUUGUGGACUGGAUUUGGGUUGGCCUGGGUUUGACUGGUCUGUGUGUGGUAGUGGCACUGGAGAUGGGGAACCUCUAAAACUCAACAUCUCUACCUGACUGUACACGGUCUUAAAAGAUAUAAUUAUGAGUUGGGGGGGUUGGGGAUUUAGCUCAGUGGUAGAGCGCUUGCCUGGCAAGGCCCUGGGUUCAGUCCCCAGCUCCGAAAAAAAAGAAAAAAUGAGUUGGGGGGGGUGAUAGUGGUCCCUCCCUAUAGUUGAAGGCCAGCCUGGUCUACAAAGCAAGUUCCAGGAUGGCCAGAACUAUUAAACAAAUAAACCCUGUCUUGAAAAACUAAGAAGGAGAAAGAGUGAUCUAGGAGGGGAACUGGCUGUAGUAGAUGCUGUGACAUAAAUAAACUUGUCAAUUUUUACGGCUGGAAUCUUCCUUUGCUAUUAAGUUUCUUCUCGUCUAUCUCCCCUGGAAAAUAAAGCAUGCCAGAGUGAAUGGUAAGAUUUGAGGUUUAGUUUGGGCUGGAA